AACGAACGCUGGCGGUAUGCCUAACACAUGCAAGUCGAACGAGACCUCCGGGUCUAGUGGCGCACGGGUGCGUAACGUGUGGGAACCUGCCCUUAGGCUCGGAAUAACACCCCGAAAGGGGUGCUAAUACCGGAUAAUGUCUUCGGACCAAAGAUUUAUCGCCUUUGGAGGGGCCCGCGUUGGUUUAGCCGGUUGGUAGGGUAAAAGCCUACCAAGGCGACGAUCCAUAGCUGGGCUGAGAGGAUGAGCCGCCACACUGGGUGUGAGACACGGCGCAGACUCCUACGGGAGGCAGCAGUGGGUAAUAUUGGACUAUGGGCGAGAGCCAGAUCCAGCAAGGCCGCGAGAGUGAUGAAGGCCUGAGAGAAAAAAAGCUCUUUUACCCGGGGUGAUAAUGACAGUACCGGGAGAAUAAGCUCCGGCUAACUCCGUG
rnacentral:rRNA from 1 species